AAUCAGUCUAAUCUCGAUAAUACAUACAUGAACAUAUUACAAGGAAGAUAAAAAUACAGUUUAAAAUUCUCAAAUAGCAUUUAGAGAAACAAUAAACAGAUAAACAGAUUGAUGUACUCCAGUAUAAAAUUCAUACCAGUACAUCUCUUCAGAGCGGCUAGCUAAGGGGUCGAUGAUCGUUCGACUGCUGUCCUUCCGAUUUCGGAGGCAUAUUGUACACAUUCUUCAGCAGAUCCUGGAUUUUGCUCAGCAUCAUCAUCUGCGAUGGAUCACCACCACUGCCGCCACCGCCGCCACUACUGCUUCCCUGCUGAGGCCGUUGGCUCUCCUGAAGCUUUAUCUUCUCG
rnacentral:misc_RNA from 1 species